CGUAGGCUGUUUAUUAAGUUGGGGGUGAAAUCUCCGGGCUCAACCCGGAGCUCGUUCUCAAAACUGGUAGACUUGAGUAAGGUAGAGGCUGACGGAAUUCUGCAAGUAGGGGUAAAAUCCGUUGAUCUGCAGAGGAACACCAAAAGCGAAGGCAGUCAGCUGGGCCUUUACUGACGCUGAGGGACGAAAGCGUGGGUAGCGAACGGGAUUAGAUACCCCGGUAGUCCACGCCGUAAAUGAUGGAUACUGGACAUUGGUACUCGAUCGUAUCAGUGUCUCAAGCUAACGCAUUAAGUAUCCCGCCUGGGGAGUACGGUCGCAAGAUUAAAACUCAAAGGAAUAGACGGGGACCCACACAAGCGGUGGAGCAUGUGGUUUAAUUCGACAAUAAGCGAGGAACCUUACCAGGGCUUGACAUCCCGAGAAUUCUUUAGAAAUAGAGAAGUGCCUUUAUGGAACUCGGUGACAGGUGCUGCAUGGUUGUCGUCAGCUCGUGCCUUGAGGUGUUCGGUUAAGUCCGUAAACGAGCGCAACCCUAGUCCUAUGUUGUAUAUUUCAUAGGAGACUGCCUUGUCCAACGAGGAGGAAGGUUAGGAUGACGUCAAAUCAGCAUGGCCCUUAUGUCCUGGGCGACACACGUGCUACAAUGGUCGGUACAAUGGGUAGCCAACCCGCGAGGGGGAGCCAAUCCCAUCAAAGCCGGUCCAAGUUCGGAUUGGAGGCUGCAACUCGCCUCCAUGAAGUUGGA
rnacentral:rRNA from 1 species